rnacentral:rRNA from 1 species
AGUGAACGCUGGCGGUAGGCCUAAACCUGCCAAUCGAACCGCAACACAGGUAAGGGUUGCCCCUAAGGGGGGGCGGGGGCGGGCGGGGGGAGGAAACCACGGGAACUACCUUUUUGGGGGGGGAUACGGUAGGGAACCUUACGUAAUAACGCCUUACAACUACGGGGGGAAGCAGGGGGUCCUUGGACCUUUCGGGGAUGAAUUAGCCGAUGUCGGAUUAGCUAGUUGGCGGGGUAAAGGCCCACCAAGGCGACGAUCCGUAGCUGGUCUGAGAGGAUGAUCAGCCACACUGGAACUGAGACACGGUCCAGACUCCUACGGGAGGCAGCAGUGGGGAAUAUUGGACAAUGGGCGCAAGCCUGAUCCAGCCAUACCGCGUGGGUGAAGAAGGCCUUCGGGUUGUAAAGCCCUUUUGUUGGGAAAGAAAAGCAGCAGGUUAAUACCCCGCUGUUCUGACGGUACCCAAAGAAUAAGCACCGGCUAACUUCGUG